CUACUUGAAUCAUCUGCUUCCUCCUCCAGAAACCCUCUCCUAAGCCUGAAGAGAAGAAGCCUCCUCCCAUCCCCCCAGGCAGUAUCCAAAGCUUGCGAUUUGGCUCCCAUCAUAGCUCAGUCCAUGCUCUGCCCUUUGCUGCAAUCACUGGAUAAAUUCAUCCUUUUUUUUUCCCCACUUACACUGUAUCUAGGACUUCUGUACAUGCUCAAUGCUGCUGCAGAUCUACAGAAUAAUCAUUUCACUUGAAUGUUAAUAGAUGAAGAUACAAGACUAUAGUCAAACUGUAUUCAACUGUCUAAUAAAUGCAUGGAAUUAGGCAACAGUGUGGCUUGACAAUGGCUUAUGCAAACUGGUAGGUGUGUUAUUCUAUAAAUUUUGAGUAAAUUCACAUCCUUGUGUGUUUCUAUGGCAUCAAAAUGCCAUGAUCUAUUUUCAGGAGCUACAGUGUCAAGGUUUGAUGACUCACUCUCUUAGUCUUCUUCUGCUUCCUUCCAUGCCACACACAUUCAACCUUUGCUCUUGAAGCUCUUCUCCGUCCUCUGUUGGCUCCACUAUGUUGGGAUAAUGAGUAAUCAAAUUAUGCAAGGUCUACUAGUGGAGAGUGGUGGUAAGCUUUCUGUGAGAUGCCAUCGCAGUGAUGUGACAGUCAGCUACUCUGAUGUCUGCAAAUGCAUCUCUUCCGGGUUACUUUCUGUCCUAUGGAAGACUGUCGCCAAAAAUCUACGGAUCUUUGUAUUUGAGGAUGUAUUGAACACAAUCUGCUGUUGGUGAUGUCAUCUCUACGGCUGCCUCUAAGGAGAAGCAAGGCCCCGGAGGCUGCUGGACAGUUGACCUGACCUACGCAAGCCUUCAUUCUUUCUCCAGACUGUCUCUUUCCUGCCUUUUCAGGUCUCUUGGAUCCUUACCAAUACUCUUUCCUGUUCAGCUUCAAGCACAGGGUUGAGAGGUCCAUGGAGGUCUCAAAAGCUGCCUUUUAAGUCUGAAUCCUAAAAUGAAGUCUGAUUUUAGAGACACUCUUGUUCUGGCUUUCAUCUUCUGGCUCUCUCCUGUCCUGUCUCCUUUCUGUUUCUCGCACACACACUCAUCCUCCAGCUGCAGGCCUAUGAAAUGGCACAGUAUUCACUCAAGAGAUAACUGUCCCAAGUGCCAGUGGCCGGAAUUUAGUUCUAGUUUCAUUACUAAGGAACAAUUCAUCUGGAAUUCCUCUGCUUACCCAAGAAAGGAUGCAGGUUAGAAGGCAUCCUGGAUAUUUAAAGUCCCUUCCAGCUCUAAAUUGUGAUUGUUCCUUGAAAAUAGAUGCAAGGAAGAGAAAAAAUGCUCAGAUAAAGAAUUCCUUUCAUUCUCACCAGUGACUACAGCGUAACUCCAAGGCACCCACUACUCUUUAGCUAAGGGAGGUGAAGCGCUCAAAGUUGGAGGUGGACAGCUACUGAGGAAUGGCAUUAGAUGAGGACUUGUUUACUCCCUUAUCUUCUCUGUUUCUCUACAAACAUCGGGGAAGGGUUUGUUAGCACAACAAGAUUUCAGCUCUCUGGUCUCUGUUGUAAACUGCUCCACAAUAAAUUCAUUUAAAGUAAGAUUUUGAAAAAUCCCCCCUCUUAGUUCUUUUGGAAGAAUGUAGCAGCCAUUUUGCUUUUCAAAACUGCAUGAAAACUUUGGAAAAAAAAAAAACAGGUGAAUUUUUGACUGUCCUGCUCUCACACCUAACCGUUGAAUAUCUGUUUGAAUAUCUAUUGACCCCAACUGCUGUAGCUACUUUGCACUCUAUAAAUGGUAGGAUUUGCCAUCUCAAGGAGAAAAAAGUUUUAGGGAAACAUUGCAUCUCCCGACCUGUUCCUAAAGAACCUACUAGCUAUUGAUUUUUCCCUUGCAAACAGAAGGAGCUCAGUGCGAAGCAUUAGGCAGGAACUCUCUAGGACAUCAAGGCCGCCACUGUUACAGUGAUUUAUGCACAAAGGAGCUGCCCUACCCCUUUGUAAAGCCUUGGGAAGAAAAGGCUCUGUGUCAGGAAAUAUCUUUAAAAACACUUCCCUGCCCCAUUCAAGAUGGAUCUCUAACCGGCUCUAUUGUGUGGCUUCAUUCAGUCCAGUAAACAUGAAGUGAGCAUUAUUAUAGUCCAGUACUGGGUGCUCCACACUUAGAUAAUGAAGACAGUACAGCAAAGAUGUUAAUCUCCAGCUACCAAGAAAAACUAGUCAAUAGGAUACAAUGGCACCGUGGAGAGGUCAAACGGUUGAUCUUGCUCAGAGAAAGGCUGUUAUGAUGCAUCUUAAAGAAAUAUGACCUGGGAACUGAACUGAAGUAACUCACAUGAAGAAGGAUGGAGGCUGAGGGGCAGAGAAGAAAUGGUGUUUUGGGCACAGGAUGGGUUGAAUCUAAAGAAUUCUGUCAUCACUUCUUGCAAAGUGAGUUUGUCCUUCUUGUUCUAUCUUGCAGUUUAGUGAAUGCCAUGAACUUGACCCCCCGGGAAAUCUAAUGUGGUCUAAAGUGAGUGGUCCACUUCUAGGCCUGACGUCCCACAGAAUAUCCUGUGUGGCCUUCCAGGCCCCUGACUCUCAUGCUUCAUGGCAGUUGUUAUAUAGUAGCAAGAUGAAACACACGACAGAAGCGACCCAGGUUCCUAACUGCCGGAGGAAGGACUGUGACGACGGACGUUCUGUGGAUGCACAGUCAGAGUCAAGAGUUAAACCACUGACAUUUGGGGUUUGUUUCACUGGCAACAGCUCAUCGCCCAGCUUACACAGCGGGCUGGGCACGGGAGUAAGGAGAAGGAGCUCAGCAGUUUGUUGUUACUUCAAAAUUUAUAGACAUCACAUUACUCAAGUUUUUGAUCUUCAAGGAUAUUAUUCUUUCUUCCUUCCCCAUUCUUCAGUGGCACCAACCCCUUUUCCUGAAAAAAAGACUGAUUUUUACAGUAUUACAGCAAGCCAGCUGUUCUUUCCUUAUGUAUUCCCAGUGUUCUGUGUCUAUUUAUUGAGCUUUCUUUAUAAUAAAGUCAACAUAUAUAAUGCAUGACUAUAUGUGUAAUAUUACAACAUAACACAUUAAAGUAUAUUAUCAUAUUUGUAAAAUAAUGAAAACAUUAGUGAUAUGUGUAACAUGUUACAUAUAUUAUUCAUGAUAUAUAAUGAAGUGAUGUCAUUGAAAACAGGUAUCUAUAGCUAUUCUAUAUCUAUAUCUCUCUUCUUAUUGGAAUACAUGCUUUGUGAAGCCAAGGGCUAUGGGCUAUGUUUGUGUUGCUCUUUAUCAUAAGCCUGUGUUAAGGAAAGUAUCUGGUGUGUAGAGGCUCUCUCCACUAUUUCCACAACGAAUAAUGCUAAAUUAAACUCUGAGGUGCAGGCCACUUUUCCUUCAACAUAGGCUCUCUUUGGACAUGUUAGUUUGAUAUCUUAUGUGGGUUUCCUGGGGAGAUAGGUCUAUACACUCAGAGGUAGAGGUUUGUUGGUCACUCAUGUGCAGGGGAUAGUAGAAAUUCUAGGGAGCAGAUAAAGAUGCCAAGCAAUAGUUAUGGGCAGGAAGAGGAGGAGAGUACAAACUCAAAAUUCAGCACAAUAUCUGUGUGAAAGAGAGGAGGCAUAAGAAGCUAGCAAAUGCCAAGGUUGGAGACUUUGGGUUCUUUUCCCCCCCUGUGUGUAAGAGUUAGAGCUGUGUGAGGGCACUGUGAAGGAAUAGCCAAGGUCAGAUCUCAGAGAGGGACUUAAUAAACAACUAUGUAUUGACUGAUAUGUGUGAAGCCCUGAAGUGUUUCCACAAAGAUGGCCCCCCAAAAGUGACAUCUUCUCUAACAGAUAGAUGUAUAGCCAAUGUCAUCCUUCUCAGUCACUACACAAUAUCUUUAUCACACAGAAUUUUUGGGGUGAUGCCAGGAGGCUGUUGGGUCAUCCUGGGGUCUUACAUUAGUCUGACAUAGUAGGGCACUAUUUCUGAUCUGAAUUUCUUUCCUGACUAACAGACUGUUCGAAACAAAAACUCUCUAUCUAGCUGGAGAUUUAUUGCUAAUGUCGGCUAGGUGUCAGUAAACUACGUUUCACAGGUCAAAUAUGGCUUAUUGCCUAUUCUUGUCAUUAAAGUUUUAUUGAAACACACUCACAUUCAUUUCUGAAUUUUCUGUGGCUGCUUUCACUCCGUAAUGGAGUUGAAUAGUUGCAAGGGAAGAUAUAUGGUCAGUAAAGUGUGGGGUGGGCUUUACAAGAAAAAAGGUUGCCAGCCCCUUAUAUCAGGAAGCAUACUUGUUUGUUCUGGAACAAUUAAAUCAUUUCUAAGACUCCAUAGAUCUCACAUAGACCCUGCCACACCAGUGACC